rnacentral:lncRNA from 1 species
GUAAAUAUAUACAUAUGCAUACACACACACACACUUAUACGCUGGUUGAUGCAGAUAAACAGAUGUUGUGUAAAAAAUAUAUGAUUCCGUUAAAAAUUCUCUAUAUCCGAAAAAAAUAGUAAAAAAAAAAAACAGAAUAAACUGAAAAAAAAAAGCAAAGAGAAGUCUUCACCCACCCUCAAAAACAAAAACAAAAAAUUAAAAAAAAACCCAGAAAACCUCUCUCCACUAAUGACUUUUUGAUAUUUAUCAAGUUCCACUAUGCAGAUAUCUAAUCCAUGCACACCACCUUCUACUUCAACGAAAGGCUCGUUUUAAAGAAACAUUCUUUCAUUUCUUCCUUUUCCUAUUUCCCAUUGUUUUUUGUUCUGUUCUGUUGACGUUGUUGUUGCUCUUAAUAUUCCCGCUAUUUUCUAUUUUUCUUCGUUUAUAAAACGACAGAGAUUUCUUUACAAGUUGAAAAUAUUCCAAUGCUUUGAGCAUUGUGUAUACGUUGUAUAUUGUUUCUCUGCAGCCUGUUUAAGGUAUUUAUUACUAACUAUCGCUUACGUAUGCAUGCAUGCAUGUAUGUAUGUAUGUAUGUAUGUAUGUAUGUAUGUAUGUAUGUAUGUAUGUAUGUGUGAUUGUAUGUUUGUAUGUAUUUUAAACGCUCAGCUAGGUUAUCGUCGGACUGCCGACGAUACCUUAGCUAACCGAAACUUCGACGUGACUGUCAACAACAUUCUUGUUUGAGGAUAAAUUUGUACUCUAGAAAAUUAUAGAGUACCCCAUGAGAUUAAUGUUAAAUUAUUUUUAUUAUAACUAAACAUAAGGUGUGUGUGUGUGAUAAAAUAUCUCUAGAGUGACAGAGAGAUGAGUUGGGUGCAAUUAUCGUGGAAAAAACAUUCUGUCUUUUGGUAAAAGGUGUAAUUUUUUCUCCACGGUAAGUGCAGCGGAUUUGCCUUUAGAAGUUAAAAUAUGUCACAAACAUAUUUUGACUAACAUAAAGCUUGUUUAUUACUCAUCGCUGCUUGGCAUUGAUGCUGUUAAUUUUAGUUCAACCUGGCAGUCCAUGCCGGUCACUGAUAUUAAUUAUUUUUAGAUAAGCCUACGGUGAUCAAUCUACCCAGGGUUAUCUCUCUUUGGUAUUUCCCAUUGAGAAAAGCUCAAAAGCCGAAAACGCGUCUGGGAAUCCGCUAGUGGGGAAUCACUGAGCAGAUAUGGUGUUUUUACACCUUUUACCACGAGAUAAUUCUUAUUCUCCGCAGUAACUGCAGUGAAUUUGCCUUCUGAAGUCAUAUUAUGUCCCAAACACAUUUUAAGUAACUUAACGUUCGCAUAUACGUGUGUAUAUAUAUAUAUAUAUAUAUAUAUAUAUACAACCUAAAUAUACUUUGAUAUCAAAACAUAUAUUUAAAUAUGUAUGCAUGUACAUAUACGUGUGUGUGCACGCGUAUAUGUAUAUAUAUAUAUGUGUAUAUAUAUAUAUAUAUAUAUAUAUAUAUAUAUAUAUAUAUAUAUAUAUAUAUAUACAUAUAUAUAUAUAUACAUAUAUAUACAUAUAUAUAUAUAUAUAUAUAUAUAUAUAUAUAUAUAAUAGUUAUCGCCAUACUAAUAUGGCAUUCUUAUAAAAAUAAGAAAAAAGCUGUCCGCUUAUUAGCUCCAUGAGGCCAUCGCCUUAAGUUAGCUAUUUGAUACACAAACUGUAUCCAUAUAAACCUUCGAACAAGGGAGGUCAGUCGCUCCACACUACUUGACCGGCAGCUACAGACGCGUUUCGGGGUAUUGCCCCUUUUCAAUGCAGCGUAGCCAGCCAGUAGGUGUCGCUUCCGACAAUCUCUGUUCGAUGGUUUUAUUUACCUAGUUUCAGUGGAAUACAUCCACUUGUUUUCAAUAAUAGAAAUAUUAAAAUAACUAAGUCUCUCUAAAAGAGAACAGCGGCAGCGUUCCCGGAAAAUAAUAGUUAUCGCCAUACUAAUAUGGCAUUCUUAUAAAAAUAAGAAAAAAGCUGUCCGCUUAUUAGCUCCAUGAGGCCAUCGCCUUAAGUUAGCUAUUUGAUACACAAACUGUAUCCAUAUAACCUUCGAACAAGGGAGGUCAGUCGCUCCACACUACUUGACCGGCAGCUACAGACGCGUUUCGGGGUAUUGCCCCUUUUCAAUGCAGCGUAGGCAGCCAGUAGGUGUCGCUUCCGACAAUCUCUGUUCGAUGGUUUUAUUUACCUAGUUUUAGUGGAAUACAUCCACUUGUUUUCAAUAAUAGAAAUAUUAAAAUAACUAAGUCUCUCUAAAAGAGAACAGCGGCAGCGUUCCCGGAAAAUAAUAGUUAUCGCCAUACUAAUAUGGCAUUCUUAUAAAAAUAAGAAAAAAGCUGUCCGCUUAUUAGCUCCAUGAGGCCAUCGCCUUAAGUUAGCUAUUUGAUACACAAACUGUAUCCAUAUAACCUUCGAACAAGGGAGGUCAGUCGCUCCACACUACUUGACCGGCAGCUACAGACGCGUUUCAGGGUAUUGCCCCUUUUCAAUGCAGCGUAGCCAGCCAGUAGGUGUCGCUUCCGACAAUCUCUGUUCGAUGGUUUUAUUUACCUAGUUUCAGUGGAAUACAUCCACUUGUUUUCAAUAAUAGAAAUAUUAAAAUAACUAAGUCUCUCUAAAGAGAACAGCGGCAGCGUUCCGGAAAAUAUUAUCGCCAUACUAAUAUGGCAUUCUUAUAAAAAUAAGAAAAAAGCUGUCCGCUUAUUAGCUCCAUGAGGCCAUCGCCUUAAGUUAGCUAUUUGAUACACAAACUGUAUCCAUAUAACCUUCGAACAAGGGAGGUCAGUCGCUCCAUACUACUUGACCGGCAGCUACAGACGCGUUUCGGGUAUUGCCCCUUUUCAAUGCAGCGUAGUAUAGUAUAUACAUAUAUAUAUAUAUAUACAUAUAUAUAUAUAUAUACAUAUAUAUAUAUAUAUAUAUAUAUAUAUAUAUAUAUAUAUAUAUGUAUGUAUGUAUGUAUGUAUAUGUGGGUGGGUGGGUGUUUGUAUACAUACAUAUCUGAGACUGUGUGCAUCUACAGUCAUUUGUGUGUGUGAAUAUGUAAUUGUCGUGCGCGUGUUUCACCGAUUACAGCUAAUAGAAUCCAUACAUUACCUUUACCCUUUUAUGAAAUAUUGAAUCAAAGAAAUAUUAGUAAGUGGUCGGGGAAAAUGCAAGACAAAGCAAUCAGCGGCAGCAGCAGCAGUAUAAGCAACAGAAAUAACAACAGCAACAGCACCAGCACCCGCAGCAGUAAAAGCAACGAUGAACAAUGAGAAAACGAAGAAGUAAAAGUUAAAUCGCUACUCAUAGACUAACAAUCCCUAUUGUUCACAUCAAAACAACGAAGUUAUCAUUGGAGAUUAUUAUAUACUAGCAGUAUCGCCCGGCGUUGCUCGGGUUUGUAAGGGAAAUAACUAUAAAGCAUUUUUAGAGAGUUAUAGCCAAAAAAUAGCGGUAAAUUUUUUGUUUAGUUAAAAAAGGUGGAGUUGCGUCCCCUAGACGGUCUGUGGUUUGGGUUUCUGAUUCUCGACCCCAUGUCGAAUUUAUCGAUUUUUUUCAGAACUGGGGGAACUUUUCAAAAUUUUCGCUGCGUUAGUUUUGAAUUAUGACAUUGGGCUAUGUGUGUGUCAAGUUUCAUCAGAAUCGGUUGAAAGAUGUGGUCAGGGUGAGGGUACAAGCAAACAGACACACAGAAACACGCACAGACAAACUGCCGUUUAUAUAUAGAGAGAUAAGUUCAUGAAGGAUUAUACAUACGUACGUACAUACAUACAUACAAGCAUAUUUAUUUAUAUAUAUAUAUAUAUAUAUAUACGAGCACACUCAAACCUGAUACAAGUACAUGUAUGACAUACAUUGUAUGUGCUUUAUAAUUAUAAUGGUAUAUAAAAAUGAAUGUAAACCUUCAUCAGUCUAAUGUAUAUUACUAUUUAGCAACAUACUUAUCCACCUCUCUGAAAUUAUAAACAUACACACACCUACACUCGGUCGCUCACGCACACCAACACACACAGAUGCACAUUCAGAUAUAUGUAUGUGUGUAUAACUGUAAGGAUGCUUCUCUAGACACGCACACAGUUACACGUAAGAUUGUGCAUGCAGCCCCAUCUAUCUAUAUGUUACACUCAGUAUAUAUAUAUAUAUAUAUAUAUAUAUAUAUAUAUGGAGAGUUCACGAAAAAAACAAAAGACGUACACAGGUGGUGCAGAAAACAAACAGAUGCAUUAGUAUAACGCUCAGGAAUUGAUAAAGUCUUUUACGUUUCGAGCCUACGAUCUUCUACAGAAAGGGACACAGAAAAAAACAAGGAGAGAAAAAAUGUGUGUAGUGACUACUGAUCUCUCUCUCUCUCUCUCUCUCUCUCUCUCUCUGUAUAUAUAUAUAUAUAUAUAUAUAUAUAUAUAUAUAUACAUAUAUAUACAUAGUUAAUCCAAACAAGAAAACACAGAAAAAAAACACAGCAACGCGAGGACGUGGAACAAUUAAAGUAUUAUUGACGCUCAGGAAAGAAGGGAAGGAGGGUUUCAUACAUAUAUAUAUAUAUAUGUGUGUGUGUGUGUGUGUAUAUAUAUAUAUAUAUAUAUAUAUAUACAGACAUAUAUACACAUAUACAGAUCGCUUAAAAAUGCAAAUUUUGUAGGAAAGUUAGUUAUUAAUCCUACAGAAUUAAGAUAGUAUCUCAUCUGCUAUUUUCUUCAUGAAGUCUUCUGUAAUAAUAAUAAUUUUUGUUGUAUACUUCUUGCACUGAGGAGAACAGGGAUAUGCAAUUAAUUUGAUUUAAUUUAAUCAAAUUAAUUUUAAUUAUACUACCAUGUUAGUUACAUGUUAAUAUCGCUGUUUGAAACGAUCGUAUGCAUGUAUUAAAAUUCUUUCAAAUUUUAACAUCUCGUCUCCAUUUUCAACAUAUUUGUUGAAUUUCUAUGCGAUACCUUUCCAUAAAUUCUCAUAACACACCAUAUACGUGUAAUAGUUUGAUACUCACAAAAAUGUUACGCCCGUACGCUACCAGCAAAAUAUGAAGAAUCUCUGUUAGAAAUCACCUUUUGGAACCCUCCAAAGUAAAGGAUGAAAUAUAACUCACCCUUUUCCCACACACACACACACAUAUAUAUAUGUGUGUGUAUAUGUGUUUGUGUUUGUGUAUGUAUUUGUGUGUGUACGUGCUGACCUGUGAGUUGGAAUCGAGUAUGUCAUGGUGUCAUGUACUGAGUUUUCGUAAAAUGCAGAAUACCUAUAUAUUCCCCAGCAGAUGUUAAACCCUUUCAGCCCUCUCAUCCUUGUCCCAGUGGAACAUCGACAAGGUGACAGCUGAAGGGACCUCCAGCUACUCUAGCACUUGACGGAGUAAUCUGAAACAACCCAAACACGCCGCUCAGAUCAAGUAUCAAGCACACGAGAGUAUUAUGAAAUUUAUUUUAAUAUAUCUAAUAGGCAUCAAGGAAGCUAUAAGGUGAUUUACAAACAUUAAAGUCUGGGUGAACUGCUCUUGGAGCAAACAGCUGCUUGCUAAUAAAGUUGAUUACAUAACACUUGUUCACUUGUUAUUCUCUAUAUUUCAUAUUACGCUCUGUAAUCGCCUAACGCUUUAUUCUGAGUGUAUGUACAUUGAGUUCUACCAACAGAUUAUUAGCAUCGCUAUGCCUAUGGGAAAUCGUUUGUGUGUAUGUGCGUAUUACUACCAGGUGCCAAUCGUCUUUGCUAUAUAUACAUACAUGUGUAUAUAUAUAUAUAUAUAUAUAUAUAUAUAUAUAUAUAUAUAUAUAUAUAUAUAUAUAUAUAUAUAUAUACGUUUAAAUAUUUGUUGUGCAAGAUUUUUUUAUUGGCUAAACUGGCAAUAUGACCAUUCCGAAAUAUAACAAUAUAUAUAUAUAUAUAUAUAUAUAUAUAUAUAUAUAUAUAUAUACUGUAUUAUACAAUUUAGAAUUCAUUUACAUGAAUAAUAACAUUCGUGAAACUCAGAAUACUGGGCAGGGAAAAAGUUCAUGCGCCGUGUUUUUUGCGCACGAAUUUAUUCAAAAACAACAACAACUAUUUUCCAAAAUUUAAGAACAUCAUUUUCCACGACAUUCUGCCAACAAUCAGCAAGCUUUUGGAUUUGGUCAAAAUACCAAUUCUUCAGCUUUGAAUUGAAAGGUUUUUGACAAGCUUCUUCAACGUCAUCGAAUGACUCCAAUCGGUGACCUUUCAUAAAGAGCUGCAUUGAGAAGUCAGAUGGAGAAACGUCUGGACUAUAGGCUGGAUGCAGCAGAACUUCCACACCGUCCAAUUCUUCAAUCUUGUUACUGAUCUUUCUGGUGGUAUGUGGCUUUGCAUUGUCUUCUUGAAACAAAGCGCCUUUUCGACGAACAAGUCUUGGAUACUUUUCAACAGUGAGUCACCAUUGAACAUCACAUGAACUGAAUGACCACACACACCACAAAACUAUAUAAAAAAGCAUUAUUUUAACACGUCACAAGAACUUUUACCUCAACUUAUUAUGAAAUAUCCAAGAAAUAAUUUCCCGUUACUAGUGUAGCCUUGAGUACGUUUUCCUAAAUGCAUAUACACAUAUAUAAACGUGAUAAGCGUCAGUGUAUAAAUGCAUAUACAUAGUGAAGUUCCUUCCCGAAUCAUAUAGAAUUAUAGGGCCAGUUUCCCAGUUUCCAAAGCAUAUAUUUCCCCGCUUGGAUGACACGCCGGUCCAUCGCAGGAUUAUUCAUUUUUGACAGCACGAAAUGAAGUGUUUUACUCAAGAAUACAACGUGUCGCCCGGUCCGGGAAUCGAAAUAGCAAUCUUACGAGUAUGAGUACAACACCCUAGCCACAGAGCUACGCGCCUCCACAAUGCAUAUACAUAUAUGUACGUGUAUGGGUAUACUCUUUACUCUCUUUUACUCUUUAUCUUUUUAUUCUUUUAUUUGUUUCAGUCAUUUGACUGCGGCCAUGCUGGAGCACCGCCUUUAGUCGAGCAAAUCGACCCCGGGACUUAUUCUUUGUAAGCCCAGUACUUAUUCUAUCUCUUUUGCCGAACCGCUAAGUUACGGGGACGUAAACACACCAGCAUCGGUUGUCAAGCAAUGCUAGGGGGACAAAUACAGACACACAAACACAUACACACACACACUUAUAUAUAUAUAUAUAUACAUAUAUACGACAGGCUUCUUUCAGUUUCCGUCUACCAAAUCCGUUCAUAAGGCAUUGGUCGGCCCGGGGUUAUAGCAGAAGACACUUGCCCAAGAUGCAACGCAGUGGGACUGAACCCGGAACCAUGUGGUUGGUUAGCAAGCUACUUACCACACAGCCACUCCUGCGCCUAUAUAUAUAUAUAAUGUAUUUAUAUAUGUAAUCCUGCGUAUAAGCACAUCCUUACGCACAAACAAAUCAACAUGCAUAAAAGCACACAUAUACACACGCUUGCAGUUUUGUCAUCAAUUUUCAUUUCUAAUCAUAUAUUUAUAUACCUGCUUGCUGGUAUUUGUAAAUAUUUUUAUAACUCAUUCAGUCCGUCCAUUCCGUUAUAUAUAUAUAUAUCAGCAUAUCUACGUCCAUCUCAGACUGUCACAUUAUUUAAAUAUAUGAAUAUUUCUGAUAUUUAUGCGUAUAAAGACCCACAUAUCGCUGUACACAGGCACAAACGCAUGCACAGAUACACACACAUACAUACGCACAAAUAUGUAUGUGUUUGUAUAUAUUUAUAUACAUACUACACACAUACGUACACACAUGCAAUACAAACAUGCAUACAUACAUACACACACACAUACGCACGCACGUGCAGAAAGACAUAUGUAUUUGUGUUUGUGUGUAUUCACCGUCUUAUUUAUUACUAUAUACACAUUUACCAGAAACACACAUAACCGCAUAUAAUUCUAUCUAUACACACACACAUACAUACAUACAUACAUACAUACAUACAUACAUACAUACAUUUAUAUGUGUGUAUGUGUGUGUGUAGUGUUUUGGGAGGGUCAUUAGCCCAAUAACAAUAAACACACGCACAGGUUCAAUAUCACUUCUUUACUGUUAGUCAAUCGGCUAAAUAUCCAAUUAACUUAUCAACCAUUUGUUUAAUGUGCCGAUUAAACAAUUAAUCGUUUGUUUGUCAAAGUCCUUUCACCGCUAUUCGCGACUUCAUCGAUGUUAUAUUCUGCGGAGGGAAACUUCAGGCUGCUGUCAAAGUGUUUCUCCAAGCAAAGAGAGAGUGUUGAAAAAGUCUCGCUUGAUCUUGUCCGGCACUGUCAAUCUUGACAAAGCAACUAGUCAAGAGCUUGGAGAAACACUUUGACAGCAGCCUGACAGUUUCACUCCGCAGAAUUUGCAAAAUUAUGAGAACUGGUUUAAGAUCGACAAAUCGCUUCAAAGCUUGGGUUCAUCAGCAUGACAUCCUCCGAGAUUUUGUGUCAGUAUGUUCUUUGGGGAAACCUUGAAGAGGAAGAUUAACAGUUUUGUGAGGAUGUUGCUUGCCUUGCCCAAGAGCCAAAGCCACAUCGCUCUGCAUGAGUCAACCAACACAUUAAGACUCUUAUUUAGUGGCUUCUCAGAGGAGUUUGUAUGAAGGAAAAGAGAAACUAUGAAGUGUAAAGAUCCCAGUGACACAAAAAUAGCUGGAGCUGACAUUAGGUUGGAAGGGAAGUGCUGCCAGAGAGUUGUAGGUGCCCAGAGGAACGAUUGAGGCAGAGGGUUCUGGUAGCGACUGCAGUGAUACGGUGCCUGGGCUUGAGCUAUUUCGCAACCCACGAGAUUGGAAGCACCAAGAACUCCACACAGUUGUAGAAGAAGCAAAGGUUAACAGGAUGCUGGAACUCAUCCAAGAAGGAACAUCGACAAAAAAUUAUAGAAUCGGAUCUCUGUUGGAGUGACAUCGAGUAUAACCAGCCGAAAUCGCAAAGAUAAUCUGGAACUCGACCGAGGAAAGAAAACAUCGAAUGACCCGUCCGUGUUUUUUCUUGUCCCUUUUUCGUAUCAUCUGUCUGUAUGUUUUGUUGUCCCUUUAUUGUAUCAUUUAGGUGUCUGGAUAUUUUGCGUUCAUGUAUAACUUUUUGUAUUCCUUUAUAUAUUUACAUACAUAUAUAUAGCAAUAAUAAAUCUCUGAACGAGGUAUAAACAGUAACUGCACGACAAUGUGAGGUAUACUUGCCAUCUCAAUAUGGCUAACCACUAAGGGUGGGUGUUACUGUAGCUUGUAGCCCCAGGAGAACAUCGUCUCCAGCUGGCUUUAGGCACACUUUCUGUGCUCUUUCGGUAUUUGCAAAUACAGCAAAUACCAUAAGGGCACAAAAAGUGUGCCUAAAGCCAGCUGGAGACGAUGUUCUCCUGGGGCUAUAAGCUACAGUAACACCCACCCUUAGUGGUUAGCCAUAUUGAGAUGGCAAGUAUACCUCACACACACACACACACACACACACACACACACAUACACACACACACACACACACAUAUAUAUAUAUGUAUGUGUGUGUGUGUGUAUGUGUAUAUGUAUACAUGUAUAUCAUAUAAAUACACAAGCCUUACACAAACACAUAUAAAACAUUUGUAUUAAUUAUUUUAUGCCAUUAUGUGAUAAGUGUGAGAAAAUAUUUGUAUAGAAAUGCACAUACACACACACACAUGUAUACAUAAAUACAUACAUACGUACAUACAUACAUGCAUACAUACAUACAUGCCUACAAAUGUACCAAUAUAAUGCAAAUGCUUCCCUUCUGUAAUGCAAAUGCUUGUGCAACACAUACAUAUCAGAGCGAAAGUUGUAAGUAAAGGAUGUGUUUUUGUAUGUUUAUUACGUCUAUGUGAGUACAUCAAUACUCACACACACAUCCAUCCACCCAUCCAUCUACAUACAUACAUACAUACAUACAUACAUGCAUACAUACAUACAUACAUACAUACAUACAUACAUACAUACAUACAUACAUACAUACAUACAUAUAUACACACACACACAAAUUCGUGCACACAGAUGUGUAUAGUCACAUAUAUAGGUAUAACAAAUAUAUAAUAUACGAUGUUUGUAAUAUCAUAAUAUUAAGUAUAGUACAUAUACAUUUAAAUAUAAUUGUUAUAUAUGUAUACAUACAUAUAUACAUAUACACACACAGAUAUAUAUAUAUAUAUAUAUAUAUAUAUAUAUAUAUAUAUAUAUAUAUAUAUAUAUAUAUAUAUAUAUAUAUAUAUAUAUAUAUAUAUAACAAGGAGAGUUUACGAAAGAUAGGUGGUGUACAAAAUAAACAGAUGUGUUAGUAUAACGCCUCAGGAAUAGAAAAAGUAUUUUACGUUUCGUGCCUACGCUCUUCUACAGAAAGGGACACAGAAAAAAUGUGUGUAGUGCCUCACGAUCUAUCAUGGUGUAUGUGUGUAUAUAUAUAUAUAUACACGCACAGACACACAGCCAGGGAGGGAGACAAACAGUAGUUGUGAAUGACAGUAUAUAUAGCUAUAUAUACAUUGGGAAUAAUACCUACGCUCAAAUAUCCUCCACUCUCUCUCUCUCUUACACACAUACACACAAACACAAGCAUACAUAUUCUAUAGUUUAUGUUCUUGAUAAUACACUGUAAUGAAAGUAUAGAUAGCUACUAUAUUGAAUCUCAAUCCUGUAACUGAUAAUUCAAUAAAUGCAUUAUCGUAAUAAAAGCCAUGAUUGUAAUGGUAAGGAAUUGCGUAAUAUUUUCUAUUGCUCAGGUGUGUAAUGACAUGUAUUCAUCUUAAUGAUUCAGUAAUAAUUUACUAAUAGGUUUUAUUCCAUGUUCUACAUAUUGUUCGUAAACAUUUGGGCUUGGUAUCAUGUGAAGUGAAGCUAUGUAUAUGCAUAAGUGUGUAUGUACUUUUUGAAUACGUGUGUCUGAGUGUGUGAUAUCAUUUAUAUAUAUAUGAGAUGCUGCAAUACACAUGUACAUAGAUACGUACACACGUGCAUAUAUAAACACGUGCAAACAUGUAUGUGCGUGUUAGCGUGUCUAUGUGUGUGCGGUUGUGAGAGGAGUGUGUAAACAGUUGAAUAUGAAGAAGGAGAGUGGUAAUAGUAGAAGUAGAAGAAGUUGAAGAAGAAGAAGAAGGAGAAAAAGAAGAAGAAGAAGAAGAAGAGGAGGAAGAAGAGUAGAAGUACAACAACAACAACAACAACAACAAGAACAAGAAGGAGGAAGAGGACGUGGAGGAGGGGAGGAAGAGGAAGAAGUAAAAUAAUAGGAAGAGGUAGAAGUAGAAGGAGGAGGAGGAGGAGGUGGAGGGGAGGAAGAAGAAGAACAAGAAGGAGGACGAGGACGUGGAGGACGUGGAGGAGGGAAUGAAGAAGAAGAAGAAGAAGAAGAAGAAGAAGGAGGAGGUGGAAGAGGAGGAGGUGGAAGAGGAAGUACAAGAAAUAGGACGAGGACGAGAAGGACGAGAAGGAAGGGGAGAAAGGGGAAGAGGUAGAAGAAGAGGAAGGUAAAAGAAGAAGGAGGAGGAAGAGGACAAGGAGGAAGAGGAAGGGGAGGAGGAAGAAGAAGAGGAAGCAGAGAAAGAUGAAGGAGGGGAGGAAGUAGAAGAGGAAGGGGAGGAGGAGGAAGGGGAGGAGGAGGAAGAGAAGUUAGAUGAAGAAGGAGAGAAAGAGGUAGAAGAAGAAGAAGAAGAAGAAGAAAAGAUGAUGGGAGGAGGAAUCCAUUAGAGAUAUUUCGCUUGUCCGAAAGGAACCUAAGUGGUAAAUGUCAGUAAAGUGGGGUUUCAGUUCUGGCAGUAUAGGGUUGAUUUAUGUUUCGGGGCGUCUUUGAAGGAAGCAAUGUUUUUCUCAGCCUUCUAAAAGAACUCGGAAGUUUGGGCCUCUAGCCAAGUCACUCACGAGACCCUUAAAGCUAAGAAUUUCUCAGUACCUCUCGUAUAUACAUACAUAUACGUAAAUAUUUCAUGCCUUGGUAUUAACCCCUCCACUUUUUGAUAUAUUUUAUUCUGUUAGUGUUUCGCGAUUUGGUGUCAGGUACAAUUUUGUAUUUAUUUUUCAAUUUAAAGCAUAAUCUCGCUCAAGCUUAAUUUUAACCAUAUUUUUUCUCACCAUCUUAUGUAAUUUUUGAUUAUAAAAAAAAGUGCUAUGUAAGUAUUAUAUAUUGUUGCUUCUUUUCCCCAUCAUAUGUAGACGCCUGUUUUGAUAUUUUUAUAUGUCAUCAACAGAGCUGAUGACCACUUGAAUUUAUUCUUGAAUUUAAACCAUAGUUAUAUAUUUCAAAUUUAAAGAUUAAACCAUAAGGUACAGAAAAAAAUGGGAUGAAAAUCUGGCUAUGCGAAUAAGAUAAAUCUCUACGCAACAGAUGUUUUUAACCCAACGAAGCAAAACCCCAUCAGUUUUUUCUGGUUUUAGAGUAGUUAUUAAAGUGCAUGACUUAUAACCCUGAGGUGUGACCUUCAAAAAAGAAAAAAAAAACUCCAUUACACCCAGAAACAUAAGCCGAGGAAGAAAACAGCAAUAUCCUGCUGAAGGUUUGCUGCAUAUAUUGGUCAAAGAGUAUGACUACAAAAUAUAAGACUGCGAGAAUAGAUCGGAUUCUCUCGUUUUAUACUUAAUUUCUUUAUGAGUGUCUUUAUAUAAAUGGCUGUAUGGUAACAAGUUUCCUUCCAAACCACAUGGUUCUGGGUUCAUUCUCACUGUAGGACACUUUCGGUGUCUUCUAACAUAGCGAAAGACUGACCAAGGACAUGUGUUUGGAUUUGGUAGAGGGGAAACUGAAAGAAGCUCGUCGUAUAUAUAUAUAUAUAUAUGGGAGUGUGCAAAUGUGUGUGUAUAUAUAUAUAUAUAUUCUUUUAUUCUUUUAUACGUUUCAGUCUAAUGGCCAUUCUGGAGCAUGAGGCAAAAUAUAUAUAUAUUUGUAUAUACACACACACAUAUAUGUACAUAUGUAUGUAUGUAUGUAUGUAUGUAUGUAUGUAUGUAUGUAUGUAUGUAUGUAUGUAUGUAUGUAUGUAUGUAUGUAUGUGUAUCUUUAUGUUUGUAUUUGACAACCAGUAUUAGUUUGUUUACGUCCCUGCAACCUAGUAAUUCGACACAAGUGAUCAAUAGAAUGAGUACCAGGCUUUAAAAAGAACUACUGGGGUCGAUUCGUUGGACUAAAAGCCUUCAAAUGGGUGAAAGAAUGUGUUGUAUUUAUUUAAACAUGUUAAUUAUAUUUAUUAUAUUUUGUAUACUUAUCAUAUUACUUGUACAUUUAAGUCGACUAGAUAUAAUAUAUAUGUGCUUCCGACCAAAGACUUUAUAUAAAAAUCCGAUUUGUUAUUAGCCUUCAUUUAUAUAUAUGUACAUAUAUCUUUAAGUAUGCGGAGAUAAUCAACUUGGACCUCCUGGUUAUAUACGUAAAGCUGUUUACAACUAUAUCUAACCACAUGUGACAUAGACUGGCCUUGUGGUAAAUACCAUGACUGGCGCCAGUCAAAUCAGUUCUGUGUCUAUGUGUCUUUAUACAUACGUACACACACACACAUACAUACAUACAUACAUACACACACACACACACACACACACACACACACAUAUAUAUAUAUAUAUAUAUAUAUAUAUGCAUAUAUCCAUGAAUGUGUAUGUAUAUGUAUAUAUAUAUAUAUAUAUAUAUAUAUAUAUAUAUAUAUAUAUAUAUAUAUAUAUAUAUAUAUAUAUAUAUAUAUAUCAGACUGAGUGAAAAGUAAGCGACAUUUUGAAUCAUGAAAUUCAUCACAAUACAUUUCAACAAUACGGAAAUUUUAUUGAUCAAAGUAAGUAUCAUUACAAUCAGCACAUUUUUGUUUAUUCAGGUAGCAUAAAAAUUUGGAGUUUUGGAGCUGAUGAACUCUUUUAACAGAGUUUCAGCAUUGGUUUGAGUUUUGAACUCAUUCUCUCGCAGAAAAUCAUCAGGAUGCUGGAAAAAGCGGUAGUCUGUAGGAGAAAGAUCUGGGGAUUAAGCUGGUUGGGGAAGAACUUCGUAGUCAAGUUCCCACAAUAUAUAUAUAUGUGUGUGUGUGUGUGUGUGUGUGUGUGUGUAUACAUGGGCAGAUUUGCAUUGAAACCUUAACAAAGUUUUCUAUUGUACUGUAAUCCUUUCUUGUCAAUAUCGUUACUUUUGAUGUAAUUAAACAAAGUAUCGUCAUCAUUGUCACCAUUGAGGCUGAAAUGGGGGAACACAUAAUGCCUUGCGUUAUAGAGCUCCAACAUUUACAUUCUAAUCCUAAAACCCGACGGCCUCUACAUAAUUAGCCAUACUUCUGAGUUAGAUAACGAAAGAGUGCCAAUUAUGUACAUAAGUCCAUACAAGCCAGCAGUGUAAUUGUUCUAAAUUUGAAGGUGUCUGGCAUGGUAAGAACUUUUUAUUUUUUUAAUUGUUUUUUAAUUUAUUUUUUAAAAUUUUUUAUUUUUAUCUAGUUUCAGCUCACAAGCCGCGGC